UAGAAGACAUUUAAGCAAAUAAAAUUACAUUAGGAGAAAAUCUUAUGAACAAGUAGAAAGAAGCUAGUCAAGAAGAAAAAAAAGUGAUGUAAGUUUUCUGUUAUAAAAUUAUAUCACUCGGGGCAAAAGAACUUGAAAUCAUAACCAAUAGUCUCUCCGACCACAGUGCAAUCAAAUUAGAACUCAGGAUUAAGAAACUCACUCAAAAACACACAAUAAUUUGGAAAUUGUAACAGAGAAAGAAAGGGCUUUGAAAUAGGAAGAGAGGAAGUCAAAUUGCCUCUGUUUGCAGAUGACACAAUUGUAUAUUUAGAAAACUCCAUCAUUUCAGCCCCAAAACUCCUUAACAUGAUAAACAACUUCAGCAAAGUCUCAGGAUACAGUGUGUGAUGCUCCCCUCCCUGUGUCCAUAUGUUUUCAUUCUUCAACACCUACCUAUGAGUGAGAAAAUGUGAUGUUUGAUUUUCUGUUCUUGUGUCAGUUUGCUGAGAAUGAUGAUUUCCAGAUUCAUCUGUGUCCCUAUAAGGACAUGAACUCAUCAUUUCUUAUGGCGACACAGUAUUCCCAUAGUAUUCCAUGGUGUAUGUGUGCCACAUUUUUUUGUCUAGUCUAUCAUCGAUGGGCAUUUUGGUUGGCUCCAGGUCUUUGCUAUUGUAAACAGAGUCAUAAUGAACAUAUGUGUGCAGGUGUCUUUAUAAUAGAAUGAUUUAUAAUGUUUUGGGUAUAUACCCAGUAAUGGGAUUGCUGGGUCAAAUGGAAUUUCUAUUUGUAGAUCCUUGAGGAAUUGCCACACUGUCUUCCACAAUGGUUGAACUAAUUUACACUCCCACCAGCAGUGUAAAGGUGUUCCUAUUUCUCCACAUCCUUUCCAGCAUCUGUUGUCUCCAGAUUUUUUAAUGAUUGCCAUCUAACUGGAGUGAGAUGGUAUCUCAACGUGGUUUUGAUUUGCAUUUCUCUAAUGACCAGUGGUGAUGAGCAUUUUUUCAUGUUUGUUGGCCUUAUACAUCUUCUUUUGACAAGUAUCUGUUCAUACACUUUGCUCAUUUUUGAAUGGGUUUGUUUUUUUUCUUGUAAAUCUUAGUUCUUUGUAGAUUCUGGAUAUUAGCCCUUUGUCAGAUGGGUAGAUUGCAAAAACUUUUUCCAAUUCUGUUGGUUGCCAAUUCACUCUAAUGGCUGUUUCUUUUGCUAUGCAGAAGUUCUGGAGUUUAAUUAGGUCCCAUUUGUCUAUUUUGGCUUUUGUUGCCAAUGCUUUUGUUGUUUUAGUCAUGAAGUCUUUGCCUAUGCCUGUGUCCUGAAUGGUUUUUGCCUAGGUUUUCUUCUAGAGUUUUUAUGGCAUUAGGUCUUAUGUUUAAAUCUUUAAUCCAUCUGGAGUUAACUUUAGUGUAGGGUGUCAGGAAGGGGUCCAGUUUCUGCUUUCUGCACAUGACUAGCCAGUUUUCCCAACACCAUUUAUUAAACAGUGAAUCCUUUCCCCAUUGCUUGUUUUUAUCAGAUUUGUCAAAGAUCAGAUGGUUGUAGAUGUGUGGCAUUGCAUUCGAGGUCUCUGUUCUGCUCCAUUGGUCUAUAUCUCUGUUUUGGUACAAGUACCAUGCUGUUUUUAUUACUGUAGCCUUGUAGUAUAGUUUGAAGUCAGGUAGUGUGAUGCCUCCAGCUUUGUUCUUUUUCUUAGGAUUGUGUUGGCUAUGCAGGCUAUUUUUUGGUUCCAUAUGAAGUUUAGGGGUUUUUUUUUUUCCAGUUCUGUGAAGAAGGUCAUUGGUAGCUUGAUGGGGAUAGCAUUGAAUCUAUAAAUUACUUUGGGCAGUAUGGCCAUUUUCACGAUAUUGAUUCUGCCUAACCAUGAGCAUGGAAUGUUUUUCCAUUUGUUUGUGUCCUCUCUUACUUCGUUGAUCAGUGGUUUGUUGUUCUCCUUGAAGAGGUCCCUUAGGUUCCUUGUUAGUUGUAUUCCUAGGUAUUUUAUUCUCUUUGUAGCAAUUGUGAAUGGGAGUUCGCUCUUGAUUUGGCUGUUAGUCUGUUAUUGGUGUAUAGUAAUGCUUGUGAUUUCUGCAUAUUUAUUGAUUUUGUAUUUUGGGACUUUGCUGAAGUUGCUUAUCAGUUUAAGGAGAUUUUGGGCUGAGACGAUGGGGUUUUCUAAAUAUACAAUCAUGUCAUCUGCAAACAGAGGCAAUUUGACUUCCUCCUUUCUUAAUUGAAUACCCUUUAUUUCUUUUUCUUGCCUGAUUGCACUGGCUUGUUAAUUUUCUGUCUCAUUGAUCUAAUAUAGAGAGUGGAGUGUUAAAGUUUCCCACUAUUACUGUGUAGGAGUCUAAGAGCCUUUGUAGGUCAUUAAGAACGUGUUUUAUGCAUCUGUGUGCUCCUGUAUUGUGGGCACAUAUACAUUUAUAACCCUUAGCUCUUCUUGUUGCCAUGAUCCUUUUACCAUUAUGUAAUGCCCUUCUUUGUCUCUUUUCAUCUUUGUUGGAUAAAGUCCUUUUUAUCAGAGACUAGGAUUGCAACUCCUAUUUCCCUCUCCAUUUGCUUAGUAAGUCUUCCUCCAUCCCUUUAUUUUGAGCCUACCUGUGUCCUUAGACAUGAGAAGGGUUUCCUGAAUAUAGCACAUCGAUGGGUCUUGGCUCUAUUCAAUUUGCCAGUUUGUGUCUUUUGAUAGGGGCAUUUAUCCCAUUUACAUUUAAGGUUAAUAUUGUUAUGUGUGAGUUUGAUCCUGCCAUUUUGAUGCUAGCUGGUUGUUUUGCCUGUUAGUUGAUGCAGUUUCUUCAUUGUGUUGAUGGUCUUUACCAUCUGGUACAUUUUUGGAGUGGCUGGUACUGGUUGUUCCUUUCCAUGUUUAGUGCUUCUUUCACAAGCUCUUAUAAGGCAGAUCUGGUGGUGAGGAAAUCUCUCAGCAAUUUCUUGUCUGUAAAGAAUUUUAUUUCUCCUUUGCUUAUGAAGCUUAGUUUGGCUGGAUAUGAAAUUCUAGGUUGAAAGUUCUUUUUUUUUGAGACAGAGUUUCACUCUUCUUACCCAGGUUGGAGUGCAAUGGCAUGAUCUCGGCUCACUGCAACCUCCACCUCCUGAGUUCAGGCAAUUCUCCUGUCUCAGCCUCCAGAGUAGCUGGGAUUACAAGCACACGCCACCAUGCCUAGCUAAUUUUUUUGCAUUUUUAGUAGAGACGGGGUUUCAUCAUGUUGACCAGGAUGGUCUCAAUCUCUUGACCUCGUGAUCCACCCACCUCAGCCUCUCAAAGUGCUGGGAUUACAGGCCUGAGCCACUGCACCUGGCUGAAAGUUCUUUUCUUUAAGGAUGUUGAAUAUUGACCCCCACUCUUUUCUGGCUUGUAGGGUUUCUGCCAAGAGAUCUGCUGUUUGAUAGGCUUCCAUUUGUGGAAAACUCGACCUAUCUCUUUGGCUGCCCUUAGCAUUUUUUCCUUCAUUUCAACCCUGGUGAAUCUGAUGGAUUAUGUGCCUUGGGGUUGCUCUUCUUGAGGAAUAUUUUUAUGGUGUUCUGUGUAUUUCCUGGAUUUGAAUAUUGGCUUGCUAAAGUCUCUGACAUGUCCUAGAGGUAUUUUCACCAUUGUCUUGGGGAUUUACAACUGCUUCUUUGUUUCUUAUGAAAUAUCUGCAGCUGGCUUGAAUUUCUCCUCAGAAAAUGGGAUUUUCUUUUCUAUCAAUUGUCAGGUUGCAAAUUUUUCAAACUUUUAUGUUCUGUUUUCCUUUAAAAACUGAAUGCUUUUAACAGGAUCCAAAUCAACUCUUGAAUGCUUUGCUGUUUAGAAAUUUCUUCUGCCAGAUACCCUAAACCAUCUCUCUCAGGUUCAAAGUUCCACAAAUCUGUAGAGCAGGGGCAAAAUGCCACCAGUCUCUUUGCUAAAACAUAACAAGAGUCAUUUUUGCUUCGGCUCCUAAGUUCCUCAUCUUCAUCUGAGACCACCUCAGCCUGGAUUUCAUUAUCCAUAUCAUUAUAAGUAUUCUGGUCAAAGCCAUUCAAGAAGUCUCUAGGAAGUUCAAAGCUUUCCCAUAUUUUUCUGUCUUUUUUUGAGCCCUCCCAGCUGUCUGGUACUGACCUCACAUGACUUUAAAGUCAAGUACCCCAUUUCUGGAAUUUUAUUUCCCACUCCCCUCCACAGUGUUAGGCACAUUCUUGGUCUUGUGUAGCCCCCCAACUAAAAACCCGAAGUGAAAGCAGUUCUCAGAAAGCUGGAAGUAGUUCUCAGAGACUCGGAAGUAGUUCUCAGAGACUCGGAAGUAGUUCAUGCAGAGUCUUCUGGGGACUGUGUUUUACCUGUUUGUGUGAUUGUUUGCUUUUGAAAGGAGGCCAUCUGGUGACUAAAGCCAAGAACAGACUGUAUUUUUAUUUUUUAACAUUUUGAACCUGGUGCCUCUCAACCCUUAUCUACUCAUAACAGUAAUGACAUUAAACUUCCACUGUCUCAGUGGCCCUAUCUUUAUAAUGGGACUACUUCCUCUAUCUUAAGGAAACAUUGAAAGGCUGGCGAGAGUGUAUACAUUUAAUAUUCAAUUAAAACCAGAUACAAACCCUACAUAAUAAUAUAAACUUUUUCUGCUGGACAAGCCAUGAAUAUAAGUAGGCACUGUGGAGUCUUGCCUAUUUGGACUGGAGUAGCAGACACAGAGAUCCCAAGAGGUGCUAAAAGGAGUAGUGCAGGAACAAGUUUCCAUGGUACCUAGGCAUUCGUGAGUGGGCCUCUGAUUGCAAAUACCUUAUUAAUAGAACAAGUAGGCAUAUCAGAUAAGUGCAGAUAUAUAAGACAUAUAUUCAAAUAUAUUUGUAUAAUGGAAACUACCAUACUUGGAAUAAGCAAAAGGCAAUCUAAGUACAAAAAUCCUCACGAGACAUCACAAAUCAUUAAGAAUUAAGAGAUUGUGAUUAGUUAUUACAUAUUAUCCUUGCAUUUCAAACUCCCCUAAAUAGACUUGAUCUAGACAUGUAAGCGUGUAGAAAACCUGAGUCAUGAAAUGAAUGAAAGAUUAAACCCUAAAUUCAUGAGAAUGAUCUUGUGACUCAGGCUGCCUGUGUGUGCAUGUACGCUUGGAUGUAUGUGCAGGAAUACAUGGGUGUGUCGAGGGAACGAGGUAGGCAGGAGAUUGCCCAUAGAGGCACUUCAUCUUUUAUUCUGUUUUGUUUCUUUUUCCUGUUUAGACUCACUUAUAACAAAAUGACUUAUAUAGUUAAAGAAUUGUAAAAAUGUUUGUACUUUUAUUUCCUCAAAAAUUAGGAAACCUCGAUUGUGACAUAAUUGUGUCCCUAAAUAUUCACUGUGCUUUGUUCAGCUUGCUACUUGCUGUAGUCAUCUUCUUAGGGCUUCCUGUUUCUAUGUGACUCCAUACCUUGCCUUCCUGUGCUUGUUUUUGAUGACCUCUUGGGACAUUCUUUCUCUUUUAGAGGAAUUUCAAUCAUUGGGAAGGCUUGGCCCUGUAAGACUGAGUUGCUGGGGAUGCCUUGCACUCAACUUCCUUUCUGGAAGAUGGAGAGUCUCCGAAGCAGGUGGCUGCCUCAGGUUAGAACAGCAUAGAGUCCCCAGUUGCCCCUGCUUUCUUUUUGUAUCUUGACCAAAAAUCAUGGAAUGUCUUGACUGCUCUGUGACCCAGCCAGCUGCAGUAUUUUCCCAGCAGGCUUGAACCCAAAUCAAGGCUUUGAAUAUUCCCAGGAACUGAUAAAGGUAUCUAGGUUUACUAGGAAAAAACCUGACUCUGACCCUGAACCUGAGCCAAAUUCCUUAAACACUCAUGUAAACUCCAUACCCUGCCCCUCUCCUGCAGACAUGUCUAAAUAGAACACCACUUUCUCUUAGCGUUCAUUGCCAGGAUUGCUGUAGCCCUCUGUAAGUUCCCCUAAUAAAUACUUUGGAUUGAUCACCUUAUUGUUCACUGCUUCUUUCUCUGAAAUCCAAACAAAUUCCAUCUCAGAACAGUUUGGGGCAUUCUUUUGUGAGGAUUCCACUGCUUUUGGGGCAACUCUAGCCAUGGGUUCAGUGGGACAAAAUAAGUAGCAAAUAUUAGGUGUCUAAGGAAGACCAUUCUGCUCAGUGAGUGUAGAGAUGUGAGUGUAGACAUCACUCCUCGCUCAAAGCUUCUGGGGUAUUUCAGGGCUGGGUCUGGAGAAUGGGAAACUCAUCUUUUUCAUGUCUGAAGGGUUUGUCUGUCUGGAGCUAACUUGGCUUGAGCUUUAAUCAGAAUUUAAAUAAAUGCCUUCACCAAAGACAUCUGAGUAUGAUGGACACGCAGGAUGAUUUGGGACUAAGACUGGUUUUAGCAAAUAAUAGUUUAGAGCGAUGCUAUCUCUAAGCAGCAAGGUGGUGGCUGGAGUAGGUGGCCUUGCGAAGUACUUUCACAGAUAAGAGUUUUGGAGUUGGAAGCGGCCUUAAUGGAAGAUAAAUGCUCUAAUCCAAUCUUCUCAUUAUACAAAUGAGAGAACUUCAGCCCAGAAAGGUUGAAGUGACUUUCUUUAGGUCACACUGCUGGUUUGUGGCCAGCUGGGGUACUGGACAUAAAUAUGAUACUGAAGAGACAGGAUUUGUGAGGCCGUCUGUUACCACUUCACCGUUUUUAUUUAGCAGAAUCCAGUGUGCCUACAUUAGCAAUGUUAUAUGAAUAUAGACUGUUAAGUGGGAUGUGGACAUACUUCAUUAGGGAGACGUGGACAGUAUAAUGGUAUCUAUUCAAAUGAGUCUUCUCAUCUGUAAAGUGAGAGUUUUGCAGUAGACGAACUUUAAAUUCCUUCCUCUUUGAAAGUCUCUGAGUUGAUGGGAUCCUGCUUGUGUGAUUAAAGAUACUCGUGCUAAAUUUAGAUGCUUCUUAGACCCACCUCUUGGUGAGAAGGGAGUACUUGAGUUGGAGUCUGAACACUGAGUGCUACCUGUGCCACUUACUUGUCUUGUCACUAUGGAAGAGUCACCUUUCUUAACUCAGUUUUCUCCUCUGUAAAUGGAGAGUUAAUGAUGUCUUGCCUUCUACCUCCCGAGUCCCUCAUCUGAAUCAUGAAGCAUAGAAAAUGAUAUAAAUGAUUAUUUCCUCAAUUCUCCUGAGGGUGGUGCAUAGAGAGUACCAUGCACAGAAGAGACUUAAUUUGUAAUGUAUAUGCAUGAACAUAUGUAUGAAGGUGUUUGCCUGAGGGCAUUAGGGAUAACUUUCUCCUGGGAAUCCCAGUUGAGCAAGGCCACUGUGUAAUCAAUUGUGUAGCACACUCGACAACAUGUACAAUGAUAAAAAUGUAAGGGAUUAUUUUCCUUUGUAUUCAACUGUUAAUCACUGUUAAUUAUAUCUACAAAUCCCCUGCCUGGAGAGCAUGUGUGAAGGUCUGAUGGUUCCUUAGUGUAAGAAUGAGGUGGUAUAACACUAUGUCCAUCAGUACAGGUUAUGGGUGGUACAGUGUGAGGAACUCUUUGCUCCUUAUCAUUCUAUUAGAAACUUUUCAUAGUGUCUCAUAGUGGCUUCAUUCUCCCCAGAUUCACUCCUUUCCAUGUGCACUUGUAAAGUAAGAGGCUACCUGGAAUUGAGGUUGGCUGGGAAAUAAAGUAAGGCUCAUAGGUAAGGUUGAGAGAAUCUGAGUCAUUGACAUCCAUGAAGCUCUUAGAGUGAGUGCCUUGAUGGUUCUUGUGUGGGCAUGAUUAUAGAUUUGGUGACUUGCAAACUAAUCACUGUUACUAGUUAUUGAUGCUUUCAAUGUGUCAGCUCUGUGCUGAGCACUUUUCAUAUAUUAUCUAAUUUGAAUCUUAGAAUAAGUUGCAGAUGUAGACAUUAAAAUGGUCACUUUACAAAUAGAACUGAGGACUAGGAUGGACAAGCAUUUUCUCAAGUAAUACUAUUAAUUCAUUGCUAAUAGCUAGUGGAUAGGGCCAUAUCAUGUCACAACUCCAUUGGGGGAGGGGGUAAUCAUUCAUAUUGUAUUUUUUGAAUUUUUUUUUUUAAAUUUCUAGAUGGAGUUUUGCUCUUGUUACCCAGGCUGGGGUGCAAUGGCACAAUCUCGGCUCACCGCAACCUCCGCCUCCUGGGUUCAAGCAAUUCUCCUGCCUCAGCCUCCUGAGUAGCUGGGACUAUAGGCAUGCGCCACCAUGCCCAGCUAAUUUUUGUAUUUUUAGUAGAGAUGGGGUUUCACCUUGUUGACCAGGAUGGUCUCGAUCUCUUGACCUCGUGAUCUACCCGCCUCAGCCUCCCAAAGUGCUGGGAUUAUAGGCAUGAGCCACCAUGCUCGGUCCUUGUAUUCUCUGAAUCUUAUGCCUGGAGGUAAAAGUGUGAAUAGUGCUUGCUGGAAAGUGUGAAUUGUACUCACUGGAGCUGUGCGGUAGCCUGAAGAAUGACAGAACCGAGGUAUGAAUUCACUUCCAUCUGACCCUAAGUUCUGUUCUGAGCCUCUACAGCCCAUGCUGUCCCUUCACCACGAAAGGUUGUUCUAAGUGUUGAUGGGUGGGAGUGGGCAGCACCUACUUUCUGCAUCUCAGUCCAUCUGUGAUCUAGGUGUCGAGCCUAGUCAAGCUGAACCAUUGAGAGAGCCACUUCUGACGUCCAGCAGGGCACUUUGCUAGACAGACUGAUGAGUAAGAGGAUGGGGAGGGAGUGUGUGUUGGUAUGUGUGUAAUUGUGGUCCCAUCUGCCGGGGUGGUGAUUUUUUUUUUUUACUUUAAAUACUUACAGUUUUAUUGUCAAUUAUACUUAAAGUGGGAGAAAUAUUGUUAUGAAUUGGAAUACUUAAUGAAAACUAGACAUGAAACAUGGUUUCAUAAUUACAUAUGUUAAAAUGCACCUUUACAAAAUCUAAGAGUAUUCUUAAAUGUUCUGGAACUGCUUCUCUGUCUCUGGAUGGAGUCUGAAGAGAAUAAAGGAUAGAGUGUAGAGGUGGGGAAAAUAAGCACUGAGGUGGCUUUCUAUCCAUGUCUAUCUAAAAUAAUACUUCUGCUAUGUACAUUGCUAAAACACCCACUAUCCCUACAGUUUUUAAGGUGAAAGAUUAGAAAACCUUAGGACCACGACUGGGAGACCUGUUAGUGAACUAUCUCCUUAUCUUCAUGUCUGUGUGUGUGUGUGCACGCGUGUGCAUGUGCACGCAUGUGUGUAUUGUGUGAGUAGUACAGGGGGAUGUGCAAGGAGUGUCUCUCCAUGGCUGCCUCUCUUUGCCUGGCCAAGUGGGUAUAUUCUCUGCAGGGUGGGGAAAGACUCAUAAAGUCUGCACUCCACUUUUUUGAGUGACCACGUGGAGCUGAGAAUGGAGAACACGAUUGGGAGUCAGAAGACUUGGGUGUUGGCAAAUGUUGAACCUGUAUGAAUUCUAGGCCCCUCAGAAAACAAAAAGGUAAGAAAGAUGUUACUCAUUUCUUUGGACAAAUGUGAAGCCCUGGCUUUCACACAGUCUAGGACAAAGCCAUCUGUAAGCCAUGCCUUGGAAGGGAAAGAGGCUUUAGUGCUUUUUACCAUUGUGGUUAUUUGAAAGGAUUUUUCUGGCCAGAAGUCCCCUUCUUAUUGAAUCUUGUCACGUAGACUCUCAAACUUACACACCUUACUGAAGGCGCCUCCCCUCCCCAAAAUUAACUUUCAGUUAUACCUUAUUCUAAUUAUGCACUUCAAUGCAGUUAAAAAAGAGACUGAAUUUUUCUAUUUGUUCUCCAUGUUCAUUAACGAUCUCUUUCAACACAUCACAUUUGGAUUUAAUUUGAUUUUGGAGAUUAUAGAAGAAAAGAAGCUGUGAAAAGCAGGUUGUUAUCUUAUAUACUGAGUGAAUCACCAAUGCAGUGAUAUCAUAUGCUGGCCACAUUGCCUCUGUGCUCUGUAUGCAGGGAUGGCUCCUUGCCGGCUCUUUGGAGGUGUUAGUUUUAAUCCACAUUCUCCUGGUCAGAAUUCAAGUUGUUUCACAGGGCGAUGCGGAGAAUCUACAUUUCACCAAGUACUGCUAGAUAAUUCUCAUUUCCACCUGGAAAAUGACAAAAGGUCCUUGUAGUCUACUCUUCUGUCAGUUCAUGGUCAAAUGUCUGUCCUCUGGGUGGCACCUCAGGUAGGUCAUGGGUGGAUGUGCUACUUUUCUGGAUGGAUGUGGCUGCUAGUUGUUGGGUAGAAUUGUGCGACCCAAAUCCAGUGGUGUGUUCUUCCCUCUCAUUUUCUAGAAGCUUUUACAAACAGCAGCAGUUCUGUGUUCCGAUGGAGCUAUGUAGGAGCCAUAGCACUGGAAGGCCAGGAGCACAGGAUAGACAGCUUCUCAAAGCUCGUUUCUUUCAACAGCUCCCUCCAUACCUAAACCUUGGAGAUGUUCAAAGCAGUUCAUGACCAUAUUUUGACUUCUGUAGAAAACCAGCUUAAGAGUUCUCUCUCCAGCCUUUUAAGAAUGAGUUUCAACAGUUUGAAACCAAAUCUCUAUGCUUGAAAACUGAGUAUAUGUCCAUGUAAGGAACUCCAGGCAGGUGCUGCUGGAGGAAGGGGAGUCUCCAGAAACUUUCUGCCCUGAGUGGUUACCUCUGCUGCUUGGGGUUAAGACAGCCCCUGCCUGGUACCAUCAGAACGCCAGUACUUCCUAGUCUUCGUAAGAACAGUGGCUCUGGAAAGACAUGGCCUGUUUGUAAAGCUGUGGGUGGGAUCAAGGAGUUAUGUGGUCCAGUUGCCAGACCCUUGGGUGGGAAGAUCUCAGAGGAAGGGCAGUGGGCAGAUGGAUCAGAGCGGUACAGAGAAAUGACCUUGGCUCCUGAUUCAUGGUUGUGCCUGGACCGACAAGGGUUUGUGGAAACUUUCACUGGGGAUACGCGAAGCCUGGAGUUAGGGUGCCUGUGGUGGUGCUACAUUUCAAACAGGGUCAUUCAAGUCCUUUCCUGGUUUGUGCUGUCAAAUGACAUUAGGGAUUUUCAGCAUUCAGGUACUCAUGUUUACUGUUACAUGAUCACAUAGAGCAACACAGUGAACACUCACUGGAACACAGGCCCUGAACUGCUUGGGUUCUACCACUCACUAGCUUUGUGACCUUGGGCAAGUUAGGCUUUCUGGGCCUCUGCGUAUUCAUUUUUCAAAUAAGGAUAAUAGUAGUACCUACUUCAAUGGGUUGCUGGGAGUGUUAAAUAAUUUAAUCCAUGAAAAAUGCUUAGAAGACACUUUAUAUGUAGCAAGCGCUCAAUAAAAUUUUCUUAUAAUCGUGAUCAUCCUUUCUGGUAUGUUCCAUGUGGCUUUGGUCCCACCAUACUCUAAACACUGUGGACAGGGAUUAUGGCUGUUGUACGUAGUCUGAGCACCUAGCACAGCUGUUGUUUUUAUUCAGCAAAUAUUUAUGGAACACUGACUUUAUGCCAGGCAUGGCUCCAGGUGUGGGGAUGAACAGUGAGUGAAGGCAGACUUGGUCCCUGCUCUUCAAGAGGCUGAUGCACCCUUGCUGCUCAGUGAACAUUGGUUGAAACAAAUAGAUUAUACUACCGGUAAGUCUCUGUAAUGCAAUAUCUGUAGAGAAAGUGAAAAGAGAUGACACUUUGGUGUCGGAGAGGUCUGAGUUCAAAUCCUACUCAGCAACUUUCUGGCUGUGUGACUUUAGGGAAGCUUCUUGACUUCUCUGUUCAUCAGUUUUCUCAUCUGCAAAAUGGACACCAUAAUAGUACUUCCUCAUAUGUUUGUUUUUAGUAAUAAAUGAAAACACUGCUGAGUAUUAAAACAUCCCCUGCCCUCUUUUGCACUGAACACCUGUUACUUGGGGCACCCUUCUCCCUGCUCCUCCAAAGCUUCUCACUAGUAAAGUGUAGCAGAAUCUGUGGAUCUGAAGACUGACACGGAAUAAAUUCACUCAUUCAUUCACUAAUUCUUUCAUUCAGCCAAUACUCAGUGAACUCCUACUAGGUAGGAUUGUUCCAGGCACUGGAUAUGUUGCAGUGGACAAACAAAAUCCUUGCCCUCAAGAAACUUAUGUUCUAAGGGGAUACAUCUAAUGGACAAAAAAUGGAUACUAUCAUUCAUGUAAUGUUAAGUACAAUGAAGAAAAUAGUGAAUAAAAUAGUUCCUCAAAUGGUAAUAACUUUUAUUUGGCUCAUGGUAAGGGAUUAUGUCCUGGUAUUUUGGUUGGGACAUUUUUCAUCAUGCUUCUCUUUUUUUGUGUCGCUUCUGGGGAUGGCCAUGCUCAACUUUGCCCUGACACCAGGGUCCUGUAUUUCCAUGUGGGUGCUUGUUGACUGACCGAUUCUUUAUCCCUAGGGUGUUACCUUAUUUUCUGGAGCGUUUCCACAAAUUGACUGCAAACCAAGAGUUUGACUGGUAUACUCCAAGCCAAGGGUAGAAGUUCCAGCCUCACUCUGGGAGGGUGUCCCUAGGAGAAUGUAGGCUUCCCAGGUCUGCACCAUGGUAGAAAGAGCAUCUGAGACAAAAGAGAAAGAUGGUUGCCUUUUCCGAGUCCUGUGCUGUACGAGGGGAAAGGUAAGGGGAAUGGAAAAAGGACAUGCUUACUCUUGGUCGUCUUCCCUCAUGAAGCUGUAGACUUGUGCUCAUAUCUUAUUAUGUGUUUAACGAUAGUCUUCCCACAACAUCUGUCUGCUUGUUCACUGCCGUCCUUGAUAAAUUGCUGUACUUGUUGAAUUGAAUUGAGUUUCGUUCUUUUAGGGAUUGUUAUUAAAUGGAAAUUGUGUUUGGAGGCUGCAGUUAUUUCAGGAGAUGUUUAUUGGAUGAACCCUGUCACAGGUUAGGGUCUCCAGGAAACAGACAGAGAUGGAGUUUGGCUUUCAGGAUGUUUGUUACAGAAUGCUCUUGGCACCAACACCCAUGCAAAGGAGGGGAGAUGGAGCAUAUUUGGUUAGAAGAUGUCAGAAGAUGUCAUACUCCCAUAUAGGUCCAACAGCAGCCACAGCUGACCCUUUGGGGACCUCUGGAGCUAAAAUGGCUCUUCAUGGUUGUAUCACUUCUCUAUUACUGAAUAACAUUUACCAUAAAACUUAUUUCGCUACUUCUUUGGGUCAGGAAUCUGAGCAUAGCCUAGCUGGGCCUUCUGUCUCAGGGACGUAACUGCACAAGGCCGCUGAUUGCAGGUGUCAGCUGUGGGCUAAGGUCUCACAUAGAGUGGGGAGGAUCUGUUCCAAGCUCACCCGUGUGGUCCUCCGCAGGUUUCAUUUCCUCAUAGGUUAUUGGCUGGAAGACUUAGUUCCUUACAAGCUGUUGGCUGGAGAUUCCCCUCUGUUCCUUGCCAUCUGGGCCUCACCAUUGAGCAUCACACAACACAGUGAACUGUUGGAAGGGCAAGUGAGUGUGUCAGUCAGAGAGAAGGUGAGAGGAGGCAAGAUGGCAGUCACCUUUUUUGUAAGUUAGUCAUGGGAAUGACCUUCUAUCAUGUUUGCAACAUUCUUUAUUAGGAACAAGUUACCAGUUCUAGCCCACAGGGGAUUCCAAACAGGCCCGAAUCCCAAGUUGGGCUGAGAUAGCCCUUAUAUCCCUGUGUGGAUCAGUCACUGGAUGUGGGCCACGUAGACAGAUACUUGGCCGUGGGUGAAGCAGCUGUCUGCAGCCGAGGCAGUCCCUGAAGACUGAAGGUGGAAGGCUUUCUGCUAAUAGCACUUCCAGCAGCUGGGGCAGUACGUUCUUCACUGAAGGAGGAUUGGAGAUGCGUAUCUUCAUGUGCGCCCCAAGUCCCAUUCCAUAUUCAGACUGCAUACCACCAUAUACAUCAAGCUUGGCUUAAUAGCAAAUUCUGUUGCUCCAUGAGUGACAGGAAGAAAGGGAACUGGAGACAAUUUCUAUUUGGUAUUUAUAUUCGCAAGGAAUGGUUGUACUUGACUGUAUUCCGUUUUUUAAAAUUUUCUUCUUUUUUGACCCCAGGUUGAAACUUUUUCUGAAAUUUAAGUAGAAACUUUAUCUGAAAAUAAAGUUGUGCUGUAACUAUAAAUCGUCUCAGGCCAUGGGUGUGAGGCCUAGGUGGGGGUUCAUUUGGUCACACUUCUCUUAGGAGUCUUGAGGAUUGCAUCUUUGUAGGGCAAGGACCGUGCAGGAGCCUGAGUGCACCCUUUCUCAUCCUGCUUUAUCAUUCAUCUCUAAUGUGGUUUGGAUAUUUGUACCCUCCAAAUCUCAUAUUGAAAUGUAAUCCCCAGUGUUUUGGGUUCAUAAGGAUAGAUCCUUCAUGAAUGGCUUGGUGAACUAUAGUGAGUUACCAAGAGAUGUGGUUGUUUACAAGAGUAUGGCACCUCCUCCUGCCUUGUUCCCUCUCUGGCUGCUCCCCCUUCGUCUUCUGCCAUGACUGUAAGUUUCCUGAGGUGCUCACCAGAAACAGAUGCCAGCACCGUGCUUCCUGUAUACCCUGCAGCACUGUGUGCCAUUCAACCUCUUUUCUUUAAUAAGUUACUCAGCCUCUGGUAUUUCUUCAUAGUGACACAAGAAUGGACUAAUCCAAUCUCCCAUUCCUUCUUCAUUGUAAACUUACACCCUUCAGACACCUUGAAUGUAAAAUCAAAAGAGGCUAUGAAACCUCUAGGUGACUUAUCCUCUUUGAAUUGUAAAAUCAAAGCGGGUAAAGCACCUCAGAGUUUCCAUAGAAGCAGAGCCCAAGAUGGGGAUUCUUCUGUAAGUAGGAGAGUGCAUUCGGGAGAAUGAAUAGGGCAAGGAAAUUAGUAUGUAAUGAGAUUGCCCCUGGGCACUAGCUGCAGUCUGAUCUCACAGGGAAAUCUGGAGCACAAAGUGCACCACAGAGUUGAUUCGUCUGCAAGGCAGGGGGUCCAGCCUUUUGUACCUCUGUGAUAGUCAUUGGCUAUGGUUGCAGUGUGGGGGUGUUUGGAGUGAGCAGGGAGCUAGUCUUUUGAUGAGGAUUCUCCCAGGAAUGGGGCUGAGAGGGUUUAUCAGCCAACACUCUUCACUCAGUUGCUGGGGAGAUGGAUGCAGUACCAGAGAAAACCUAGGCAAAGGGGCUAGAGUGAGGCACCAAAAUGCAUCUACUACAGUUCUUUCCUAUGCAGAGUCACCAUCUUUUCUCUAAAUUUUAUUCCCAAGGCUGUUUUUUUAAAAUGGAGUAAUGGGGAGAAUAGGCCUGGGAGUCACCUAGAUACAGACUGGAAUCAAAUUGUUAUUCUUUGAAAACUGGCUGCCUUGGAUAAAUUCUUUAACUUAAAAAUUUUAAAAAUUAUUAUUGUGAUUCUUUUAGAUAUGGGGUCUCACUAUGUUGCCCAGCCUAAACUUGAACUCCUGGGCUCAAGUAAUCUUCCCACCUUAGCCUCUGGAGUAGCUGGGACUACAGGUGUGCCCUACCAUGUCUGGUUUAACUUUUUAAGUGUCAGUUUUCCUGUCUGAGAAAUGGGUAUGGUAGCAUUUACCUCAUAGGGUUGUGGUGAGAACUGACAGGUGACAUUUGUUACAUGCUUAUCAUAGUGCUUUUCCUUUCUUUCCCCUUUUUUCCUUUUUGUAGCUAAACAGAAUAACCUCCAAUUUUCCUGCACAGCCCUUCAGAGUGUUUUUUUUUUGGACAAAGAUUUACUCUGUUGCCCAGGCUGGAGUGCAGUAGCAGGAUCUCAGCUUACUGCAAACUUUGCCUCCCAGGUUCAAGCAAUUUUUGUGUCUCAGCCUCUCCAGUAGCUGGGACUACAGGUGUACACCACCAUGCCUGGCUAAUUUUUGUAUUUUUAGUAGAGACAGGGUUUUGCCAUGCUGGCCAGGCUGGUCUCGAACUCCUGACCUCAAGUAAUCUCAUCUUGGCCUCCCAAAGUGCUAGGAUUGUAGGUGUGAGCCUGGCCCCUUUAGUGCUUGGAAGGCUGUUGUGCUGCUCCUCUCGACCUUCUACAUUCCUUGUUGAUCAUCCCUUUCCUUUUGCUCAUGUCACAGCCCUCCAGUCCCUGCAGUGUGCUAGUGUUCUCUGGGUGAGUUCCAGUUCAUCACCAUCCCUCUUACGAAGAUGCACUCAGAACUCAACAGGCUCUCCUCUCUGGGUGGUCUGAUGGGGCCUGGGCAGCAGAACUGCACUGCCCUCUGGGUCAUACACCAAACUCUUCAGCGAUGCUAUCCCAGAUUGCAUUUGCUUUUUGACAACUUUAGAGACUGCAGUUGCAAGUAGCAAGAAGAUUGAGAGCUCUUCAGGGUGUGCUGAAACAUUGCCCUGACUCCUUCCCAGACGUCUGUGGAGAUUUUUGGGCUCGCUUUCCUCAAGGUUUUCUCACUCAGGCAGCUGGAGCUGCAUAUCAACCAAAUAUUGCAUGUGUCAGAGCCAGCUCUCUUCCUUCAUGGACCUGUGUGUGUCAGCCUGUGCCGAAGAAUUAAAAUAUAUACGAGGAACAGUCUAUAGUAAUGGUAAUGAAAACACUGGGAGCUUUGGAAGCCAUGCGAGCUGACCUGGCUGAUUCUGACAGGCCUCUUAGAAUCUGGGCAUGCAUAGUUUGUACAGCUCCCCAGGUAACUUACUAAGCUAUCGUCCCCACCUUGAGAUUCACUGCUCUGCAGCUUCUGUUUCUUGAAAUAGGAGCUUUUCUACCUAGGUACUAAAAGUCCACCUGCAGAUGGACCAGAUGUUGUUAUAAAUUCCUUGAAGCAUCUGAAUCUUCACAAUGGCUCUAAACCCUUGGCUCUCUACAAGGGCAAGCGGCAUUUCCAGUUCUCCAAUCUCUGCAAUUUAUAUUUGCUUCUUCCCCUUUUAUUAGCCCCCUUCCUAACCUUCCCUGCCACCUUUUGCCAGAUGCCUGGAGCCUGGGUGGGCUUCCUGGCAAUGUAGGCCUUUCUCUCUACCCCAUCAACCCCGUUCAGGUCCAUCCCAGGAGGGGAAUCUCUCAUUUUUCAAAGAAUAAAUCUGUGAAAGAGGCAACAUUUCCAGAGCAGUAAAUCUUGACUUUGUGUGGCAGCGUGGCUGUGUGCACACGGCAGACAUCUGUGGCCUGUGUGUCUCAGAGAGGUCAGCAGGGCUGACAGCCCUACAGAAAAGGGCCUUUUACUUUCAAGAAAGUCAACAUCACAAGAGGGAAACACAUCUCAGGGAAGCAAGUGGAGUAUCAAACUCCUGAGAGAAAUGGGCUAGAGCUGAAGGAAGAGGCGUGCUGGGCAGAAAGCGUUCCCACAGUUGUUUGCUGCCCAGGACUGGCAGAGAGGAGGAGACGAUGCGUAGGAGUGCAAUUCCACAGUAGCCAUGGACCAUCAGAAAAAGACUCCCCUCCCCUUCCUUGGUAAAGUCUGUUUAAUGCUGUUUGGGGUGGUGGAAGAGCCUCCUGGCCUCCUCUCACUAUUCAGCAACUGGGUUUUGCUUUCUUAAACACAACACUGUAUUUCCUCUAUCCUGUCCAAAAGAAAUGGUCAGAAGAGAGCCUGGAGAAGAAUCUCCAUUGAGUUUAACUCUCUGAAGAGUUUCCUGAAAAGUUCUGAAUGAAAAGAAAACUUUUUCAACCAACAGUGAAUUCCCUAACCAACCCCAAACAAACCAGAUGCAUGGAGAGGUAAACUCUCUGGGCUGAAAUCGAGCUUAUUAGCUCUAGUUCUGAGAGGUGUGAAUGGGAUUGGGAGAUGGGGAGUGGCAGAGGUCAGCUGGAGGAUGAAGCUAAUUAUGACAGAGGGUCUGUCUCAGGACCACAGCAUUGCUAAUAUGUGGAGACCACCCUUGAUCUUUCAUGAUUGGGGAUAGAGGAACAAAGUGUAUAACUAAAAUCCACAAAGUCCUUCAUCUUUAUUUUAGCCAUUUUCCCUCCAAAUUACUUAAGGAAAAACAAAAAAUACAUAUGAUUAAAGAAUCUCCAUAGAAAUCAUGGGUCUGGUUGUUUAGUCAGGUCUGGGGAGAUACCAAGGCCCUGUUAAUGUGCAUAGUCUGAGAAAGAGUCUGUCUCCUUUUAACGAUGCGUGGAAUAUUGCUGCUAGAUGGAGGGUUAGGGGAGGCAGGUGGAGAGAGGGACGGAGGGCUCACAGGAGGGAAGAACAAGGAUUCAUUGUGACGUUUAUUACGUGGAGAAAAUGUGGUUCAGAGACAGAAUGAAAGCAUAAAAGGGAACCAGAGCAUGCUGCUGGAGCUGGGAAGAGGCAGACAGGCCCUAACUGGGGGUGCCCAGUGACAGAGAACCCCAUCUAGGUGAGCCAGGUGGGCCACCACCUGUGCCAAGGAUUUUAACUUGGAGGAAAAGGUGAGUAGAAUUCAGGGUCAGAAGCAAAAGUUCUCACUUCUCCAGAUACAGAAGUGGGCACAGGGAGAAGGGGUGAAUGAGAUGGACUGUGAUUCCCCCAGACUACAGUCUGGAGGAGAACUCGUGGGCUGGAAGAGAAGUGACACAGGAAACGCCAGAGUUUAAUGCUUUAAACCUGUACCAUGUUGGUUACAUCACAUGAUGUCAUAGGUACUAUGACUUUGUCUCACUUGAACAGAAUUUUCACCCUAGAUUCUGAGCAUGUCAUGCUGAGAAUACACAUGGGGAAAGCUACGAGAGAUCUCACUUCAAGCACAUUAUCUGUGAAGGCGCAUGAACACGCAAACUUCCUCAGCACCUCUAUCCCCUUUUUUGAUCUUUGGGUGAUGGUAAAAUGGUGUCCAGGGUGAGGCUCACCUUUUAAUUCAACUCCAGCAUUUUUCAGAGCUGGCAUGACAUUGCUAGAUUUGUUGGUCGGAGCCUCAUCUCUCAUUACUUCUCUUGUUUUCCCAUAGGAAAAGUGCUAGUGAACAGAAACACAGUCAACACCCAGUGUGCUCGCUAUUGAAACGCCGUGUAAUUGGCAGGCACUGCGCUAGGGCCGUGUGGACAGGGUAGAGAUGCAUGAGACAAACACAUAAAGACAGCCAACAGUGCGAGGCCGGCCCCAGAAUGACUGAAGUUGGCUGGGUUGAUCCUAAAUUACACGAAACAAGACCUUAUUACUGACAUCAUAAACAGGAAAGUUACUACUUAGCUCUGUGCAAUUAGGGCCCUAUGAGAAGGCAGGCCCAAUUAUUCAAGAGAAACUGGAAUAGUGUCCAGUUGAAAAUCGCCUCAGGGUUCAUUCACUCAUUUAGCAAAUAGUUACCAAAUGCUUACCAUACGCCAGUCCUUGGGGUACAGUGGUCAACAAGACACAUUAGGUCCCUGCCUUUCUGGGACUCAGUAUUUCCAGAUGGGGAAAGUGCUAUGGAGGAAAUGAAACAGGGUGAGGUACGCCGGCGUGUGUAAGGGUGGCCUCUCUGGAGGGGUGUGUGACUUGCCUGAUGAGAAGAAGCCUGUUGUGUGCAGAUCUGGAGGAAACAACAUUUCAGGCAGGGGGAAAAGAAACAUUGGUAGAGUGGGUGGUGGACUAGAAAGCAGGGUGGGAAAUUAAAGGGGGUGCUGGAGUUCGAAAAGACAUCUGUCAUCUGCGACAACACGGACGAAACUGGAGGACACUAUGCUAAGUGAAAUAAGCUGGGCACAGGAAGACAAAUAGCACCUGAUCUCACUUCUAUGUGGAAUCUAAAGAAGUUGAACUCAUAGAAGUAGAGAAUAAAAAAGUGGUUACUAGAGGCUGGGGGGAUGCGGGAAAUGGGAGGCUUGGUCAAAGGAUACACAUUUUCAGUUAGGGGGACUAAGCUUUGGUGAUUCAUUACACAGGUGGUGACUAUCACAAAUAAUAAUGCAUUCUAUAUUUCAAAAUUUAAAGGUCUCACCACAAAAAAACUGUAUGCGAGGAGGUAGAUUUGUUAAUUAGCCUGCUUUACUCAUUCCACAUUACAAUCAUAUAUCAAAACAUCAUUCCCCUAAUUAUUAGUGGUGAAUUAAAAGUUAACAUUUGGAACAAAAGUCACCUUCUGUCAGCAUUCCUAUUAUGAUUUUGGUGUGUUUCUGGUUUUCUUCAAAGGUCUUGUCGGCAUUUUCCCAUUGCAAUGCAGCAGCAGAGCAGAAGGGGAGAUGGCACAGGCCUUCCCAAGUUUGACCCAACUUGUCACAAGUGUGUGGAUCCUUUCUUUCCAUAGCCUGUCUCCACCCAGGGAUCAGUAGGCUGAGGGGGAUGAGAAGCGGAGGGGCACUCCAUAGUGUACUCAACCCUUCUGAACUGGAUUCUGUGAGAUGUGUAUGUCGGGUUCCAAUGUGCGGCCUGACCCUGUGGAGGCUCCAGUGGCCACCAUGUUAUCUCACAGGGCCACACCUCAGGCUUCUGGGACUCUGGCUCCAUUUUUUGAGUGCAAGUUUCUGGCUUCCAUUUUAAAGAGGCAAUUUUUCCUCGGAUGCACAUUUUUUAUACGGAUUCCAGAUCACCACCCAGUUUGAAAGCAUAUGCUGUCAGUCAGCACAGCGGAGGAGUGUACAAAAAUCUCCUCAUGAAGCACAGGCCCCUUUCCAGGGCCACAAAUCAAGCCCAGGCUCUCCCCUGCCUGGGGACAGAGGUGGGUUCUGCACGCCUGCCAUCCUCUAUCGGAGAGCUAGGUCAAACUCAGUUUUUUUUUAAAAAAAAAGAUUAUAGAAAUUAUAUGUGUAUGCAAAAACAUAUUGAUUUUCCCCACCCCAUGGCUGGUAAAAUGUGUUGCCCCCUCACCCCCAUUUUUUUUGGAACCUUUCUGAAUUAGAAACAACAUGAUGCUCAGUGCAGGGAAAAGAUUACUUUUCAGGCAGUAUAAAUCCAGCAAAAAGCGAGAUUCAUUGCAUGAAUGAAUCAUGAAUUUUUCCAACAGUCUCUUUUAAACUGAUGGUAUUUAGAGACCUAUUGGUCACUGUAAUGAGCCAGGCAGUUUCAGAAUACAAAACGGCCCUAGAGGUUUCCUGACCCAAAGCAAGAGGAAUGUCUUAUCUAUUUACCAAGUCGAUUUUCCUUCCCAUUGGUAACAUUGUAAACUGAGCUCUCAAGGCCUCAGGUUCAAAACCAGUCUUUAUAACUUUUGUUGAUUGAAACCUAAACAGCAGAGAGAUGCCUUUUCCCCUAACUUUUCUGGGCCUUUGGGAGGCAAUAUCUCUGUCCAUACUCUUAAUCUUGCUGAUAUGAUCCUUAAAAGCAUUGUGAAAGAUGGUACCUAAUUUAGCAUCUAGGACUGAGGGGAAGUGUAGACUUCCCGCUUCUCACUGGUUGUCUCAAAAAUAAUAUGGUGAGGCGUGGUGGCUCCCAGAACUUUGGGAGACCAAGGAGGGUGGCUUAUGAGAUCAGGAGUUCGAGACCAGCCUGGCCAACAUAGUGAAACCCUUUCUCUACUAAAAAUACAAAAAAUUAGCCAGGAGUGGUGGCAGAUGCCUGUAAUCCCAGCUACCCAGGAGGGUGAGGCAGGAGAAUGGCUUGAAGCUGGGAGGUGGAGUCUGCAGUGAACUGAGAUCGUUCCAUUGCACUCCAGCCCAGGCAACAGUGGGAGGCUCUGUCUCAAAAACAAAACAAAACAACCCCCCCACCCCUCAAACAAACAACAUGAGCUUCACUUUAUAUUAAAGCUUUUUCUUAACAGUCCAAAAGGUCGGACUUAGAAUUCUGUGAGCUAGAUUGGCAUUUUAGAACUUUGUUUUUAACAGAGGUCAGCCACUACUAAAAUGAAACUCAUACCUUACACCAGUGGUUCUCAAUGUGUGGUCCCCGAGCACCAGCAUCACAGGCAUCUGAGAACUUGUUAAUAGCGCAAAUUCUCAGGCCCCACCUUAAAACCUACUGAAUCAGUAACUCUGGGGGUUGCACUUGGCAAUCUGGUUUCAACAAGUUCUCUGGGUGAUUCUAAUGCAUGCAAAAGCUUGAGAACCACUGCUAUAAACCAGUAACAUUCAAUGUUAAAUAAUGUGUUAAACUUAAUUUUUAAAUAUUAAUUGAAUAACUCUAUAUAGAAAAUAAGUCACAUCUCCGCCUCAUAUGUUAGUGUCCUACUCACUCCAAUCCCUAGCUUCGAUGGUAGGCCAGACUUCUUCCUUGACAUGGCAACAACGACAACAACAGGACCUGGACAGAGGAGACGGAGGCAGCACUAUAUUCCUCAGUUAAAUAUAUCUCUACAGACGUGUUCCCUACCCUUUCUCCUGGCUUUGAGGUAGAGAAUCUCUUCUGGCUGAGGGUGCUGGGGUGAGAGAUGUGUCUAACUUUCUCUUCAUUUUCUCUCCACGCAUACCUCAACUCUACCUUAAAAAUACAGCAAGAAAACCAAUCGGUGUUGUCAGUUCUAAGAAACUGAGUGCCAAGAGCAGGUAGAUACGUUUAAGGCACAAAGUUUCUUACUGGUAAUUCUAUUCUUUUUAAAUUUAAAAUACAAAAUAGAUUUGUGUCAAGAAAUAGUGUAAUUCCAAUCUUCACUAAUAGGAUAUAUUAUUUUUGAAAUGCAGAAAAUUUAUUGGUGAAAUUAAACAGCCUCUAACAAUUGAACAGUUAAUGACUGCAUCACAUUAAUUGUGAGGGGUGAGGAUAGAAUUAUCAGGAUUCUGCCAGGGGCACUGGAUUCUGAAUCUUUUUAAAUUAAAAAAACAAAGUACUUGUAAUCCCAGCACUUUGGGAGGCCGAGGCGGGUGGAUCACGAGGUCAACAGAUCGAGACCAUCUUGGUCAGCAUGGUGAAACCCCGUCUCUACUAAAAAUACAAAAAAUUAGCUGGGCACGGUGGUGCGUGCCUGUAAUCCCAGCUGCUCGGGAGGCUGAGGCAGGAGAAUUGCCUGAACCCAGGAGGCGGAGGUUGCAGUGAGCCGAGAUCGCGCCAUUGCACUCCAGCCUGGGAAUAAGAGCGAAACUCCGUCUCAAAAAAAAAACAAAAAAAAGUACUACACAUGUAUGUAAUUAAUAUCGACAAAUCUGUAAUACAAAGCUGCAUAUAUUUAGUAGAAAUCAUAUGUCUGAAAUCCAUCAUGACUUUCUUUUCCUGCUGGUAGCAGUUUUCCACACUUCCCAUAGGAAAGCACCCCUCAUCCAUUUCAAACUUGGCAGUUUCAUUUGGGUGGCUCCAACCUUGGUUCCAGGGCUGGACCUAAUUGGCUUAAGUAAACAGGGAGCUUGCCAUCUCCCAGCCAUAAUGAUUGGUUCAGGGAUGGUGAUGUAGUCCAUUCGGAGCCAAUGGGAAUCAGGAUGACAUUUGCUGGAAAUUCUGGGGAAAUGACCUUGUCUUUCUUGCUCUGAAUUCAGUGGUAGAUGUAAGCUUGGUGCCCCUGCAUUCCUGCCAUAGUGAAGCAGGCCCAGUGAGGAAGGGUCUGGAGAAAAAGAGCCAGAAAUGUAGAAGAACUGGGCCAACAACACCUGGAUCAAACAUGGCAGAAACCAGCCAUAUUCCUAGAUUUUGAGAUCUGUGAGCCAACAUCCCCUUUUCCUGUUUUAGGCAGUUUUUUUGUGUUAGUUUGUUUUGUUUUUGGUCAUUGGCAACUCAAGGAAUCCUCAGAGUCAUGGUCUUACUGCCAAAAUCAUGAUGAAUAAGAUUUAGCCUAUCCUUGGAUGUUUCAGAAGGCUCUUUGGGAAUUUCCAAGUGUCAUUGCUUGUAUUAAUAUUUUCUUAUUUUCUGUACUCUUGAUGCUUUGGCAUCUGGGGCUUCAUUGCCUGGGAAGUGACUGCCCUUUCUAGGACUAGUUAAUUAUAGAGAUAGCAAAGGACUCGUCCAGAAGUGUGCCUUAUAUAUGCAAACUAACUAACCAAUCUGGAGCUCAUACUUUGAACCACCUUCUCUAUAUGGCUCCUACACUUGAAGAGGCAAAAUUCCUCUGCUCUAAUCAUCCUAGGGCCAGGUACCAGACAACUAGAGACAGUUCUCAUAUUCCAGAGCCCACUGAAAUUAUUCAAAGUUAAUUAUAAACUACUUACCCUGCCUUGCCUUCCCUGUGCAAACUACAAUAAAAGCUCCUGCCCACAUCUUCCCCUUGUUCCUUUUGCCUCCUGACCCACCUGGUAUUUCCCACAUGGCCCUUUGUAGGAUGCCUCCUUCUCAGGCAUUACGGGUGAUAAAUAAUCUUUUCAAUGGCAGUUGUCCCAUAACCUGCUGGCUAAAUAAUAAGAAAACCUACAUUUUAAAGCACUGCCAUGAAAUGAGCAUAUCAAAAGAAGCAGAGUGUUGUAGGUGUCAGAGGGCUGUUCUCAUGAAUAUUCCUGUAGGGGGUGGGGGGACAGAGAAUGUCUUUUUCUAAAUUGCCUUUUGCUUUUGUUCUAAGUGUGUUAAUGAGCACCAAAGCCAUUUAUCCUGCACACCAAAAGGUAAUGGUGAUUGGGAUCCUGUGUUCUUUCAUAGAUUUAUUGUAUUUUAUUUUUAGUGCUUUGAUGGUAGUGGUAGGGAGAUGAAAAAAGGUCAAAAUAUGUGCAAAUUGUGAUGCACAAGUUUUAUAUGGUUCCACUUUUUCAUCCUAGUGGGCCUCUGAGGGUAAAAGCAUGAUAGAGAGAUAUUACAUCAAUUUGUCUCAUAAUUUUAAAGAUACUGAUUUUAAUCUAAGAAUUUCUUGUAAUCAGUAAAUGGUUUAGGAAUCAGAAAGGUGUCAUCUUUCACCUAUUCCUCACUUCCAAAGGAAAAAAUCCAGUAAAUCCAAAUUUCCUACUUUGUUCUGCUGCUGAUUGGUGCCAGGAAUCAUUUUUUAUGGCUGGCAAAACUAACAGAUCAAGCAGUAUAAGGAAGUAAGCAGCUCAGGUUCACUGUUUGGGGUUCUUAACGUGUAGUUACCUACUCUGGAGAGCCGAAGGCUGGAGUUCAUUUAUUCUCACAUUCAUACAUUUGUAAUGGGAUGCUUAGCAAAGACUGAAUGUUACAUUUUUGAAAGCUGAAAAAUGGUUUUGGGGAUUGCAAGUAGUUUCUGAAUUAUCUUUGUGUAGAGCCUUCUAUGGCAGUCUGGGUGCUUGGUUUCAAGCAAUAGAAACCAAGGCUGAAUACCUUAGGCUGAAAAGUGAAUUUUUGGAAGAAUAAUGGAAGCACAUUAUCUUACAAAGCUAUAGGGAAGGCUCAAGAAUUCCACUUGGAAAAUGGGCAGAAGCCGAAGUUGGCUUCAGUAGAGAAAAGUGGUUCGGGAUAUGGGCCUCAUUGCUACGGUGUAUUGCUGUCAUUGCUAGACUCAGCUACUAUUUGACACAGCCACAUCUGGGACAUAAGCUACUCUUUUACCCCUGGGUUCAUUGUCUUGUGUGUGUGACUGUGUAGAUACAGUAUCACGUAUUAACUGCCAACUCAGAGCCUAUGCAGCAUCCUAUAGGACUGCGUUCCCAUAUCAGUCAUCCUGAGCGUUCAGUGCAUCAUUGUACCAUUCCAUUAGCUGACUUUGAGCAAUAGGGUUCAUUGUAGUACAAUUAAGUUCCAUGGGCAUCUGUCAAAUUGCCUUAUUUUUUUUCUAUGAAGUGGACCCCUUGGUCAGAAACAGUGUUCUAUGUGAUGUAAUUGUAUAAGGUAUGUACAAAGCAUAUAGAAAGUCCAAUAGUGGAUAUAUUGUCAGAACCAUGAUGGAUAGAUUGUCAGAAUCAUGAUGGUUAAGGCAGAUAAAGAAAAUUCACAUUGAAAAAUGUGUCUAUUCUGGUGAGAACAAAUUGAUGCCCCUCCAUGAUGGUGACGGCAGUGCUCCAAUAUAAGCAACAUCAGCUGGUGGCUGGUUGCUCUCCUGUGGUACAGGGUCAUAUCAGGGAUUCUGAGGAGAGUGCUACUUGUGAAUUGAAGGAGGUUCUCUUUUUGUUUUUUCAUCUAAUGGGAGCAUUAGUAACCAAUAGCAGGCUAUAAAGAUGCUAAUUGAAACAGGAAUACUCCACAGAAAGGGAAAAGUGGUGAUGUGGGGGAGAGAGAUACCUGCUGUAGUCCUCUGAGUAGGCGAAUAGGGAUUGAUACAGUUUAACGGUGUCUCCACCCAAAUAUCAUCUUGAUUUUCAUGUGUUGUGGUAAGGACCCGGGGGAUGUAAUUAAAUCAUGGGGGCAGGUCUUUCCCAUGCUGUUCCUGUGAUAGUCUCACUAGAUAUGAUGGUUUUAUAAGGGGAGUUUCCCUGCACAAACUCUCUUUGUCUGCUGCCAUCCAUGUAAGAGGUGACUUGCUCCUCCUUGCCUUCCACCAUGAUUGUGAGGGUUCCCCAGCCAUGUGGAACUGUAAGUCCAUUAAACCUCUUUCUUUUGUGAAUUGCCCAAUCUUGGGUAUGUCUCUAUAAGCAGCAUGAAAAUGGACUCAUACAGGGAUGAACUCCAUUGUACCAGUGAAGGGUUAGCAGGAGCAGGGAUGGUCCAUUUAUUUCAGUGGGUGGGAAAGGAGAGCAAGCAGGUACAGACAUUCCUCAUUUGUUCUUAUUUUUUCAGUGAAAUGAAGCAUGGAACUAUCAGCUAAAGAUGGGGUUGGAGAAAGGAGAUAUUGGAGGAGAUUACAGCUAUCAAGGAAAGCUGAAAAGAUGUAAAGUGACUGAGGUGGAUGACACAUCCCCCAAUGCUGGUCACCCACCAAACAUGCAGAGGAGCCGUCAUCUUGAUGCAGGAUGGAUGCCGUCUUGUCCUGUCCCAAGAUGCCACAGGGAGUGUUUUCUCUGCUGGAACUAGGAUGGGCAGCUCACCAGGAGGUGACCACUGAAGGAAGAGGAAGGCACUUGCAGUUCUUCAGAGACAGCCUGUGACAGUUGGAACAGAAGGCUGGACUGCAGUCCUCCGCAUGCUGAGUUUGCAUUUAAAGGGGGGAGGGAGCUCUCUUAAUUUCUGAUGAGUUUUCCUGGUUGCCUUGAAAUUGAACUGAGUGUUCCCCAGUGUCGUCAUUUUUGUUUCACGAGGUGAACUGCUCUUAGAGAGUCCUACUCUGAGGUGGGAGAUAUGUGAGCCCGCAAUCUUCUCUGCGGGACUCAGUUCCUGCUGCCUCCCCUUCAGACACACUUGGCUGGCAGGUGGACCACUGGGAAAGCACCCCUUGCUCU